rnacentral:tRNA from 1 species
GGCCGUGGUGUAAUGGAUAACACAUCAGUCCGGUCUACUGAUGAUGCUGGUUCGCUCCCAGCCGCCG